CCUUUUUUUGGCAAAAGGUUAAAACUGCAAGCUCCACAUAUGGAUAGUCCCUAAACUUACACACAGUACCCCUUAUUAUCAGAAUAAGAGGCUACCAACAAUGCAUUAUCUUGAUACAGGUAUUUUACGAAAAUAAAGACAACAGUCCAACUUCACUAGGCAAAAAUAUUCAGUAAAAAUACCCUGUACCGGGUAGAAAGAGAGGGGUGUGUGCUUCCCUAGCGACGGCUAUUGUAAAUAAUCAAAGGAAAAUGGCGACCGGGUAGGUCUGGUUGCUACUGCAACCUUGUCAAAAGGUUGUUACCGUCAAUUUCCUCCUAUAAAUGUUCAGCAGGCCACAGUCAAGUAAGGCCGUGCUGAUGAUGUCUCUGAUCUGGAAGUACUAUGCUGACCCAGUGACGGUUCUGCCCAGUAAGUGGCUUUUCUCCUCUAGAGCGAAUGGUGGCCUUCCCAUCUGGAGUAGCAGGACCUGAGCCCUAGGACCAUGCCUCAGGACUACCUGACAUGAUGACUCCUUGCUGUCCCCAGUCCACCUGGCCGUGCUGCUGCUCCAGUUUCAACUGUU